UACAACAGCCCAGACAAGGAAGUUUCCACCUGAAAACCUCACACACAUGGAGGGAAACUCUCAUAGGAUCAUCCUUGGCCAUCUGAGGGUUGUUAUAUUUGGACUUCUAACACUCCAGACAGCAAAGGCCUGAGAGCUUCGCUGGGCAUUUGACAAGACAGAGGUUAUCAAGCAGUACAAGUCUCAAGAAGGCUUCAUCACAGAGCAUUUGGGGCCUUGUCAGCAUGGAUGGGUAUGGCAGUGGGGCUCCUCCUCACUGCCUGGCCCUGCCUGCCCAAAGCGCCACCAGCACAAUACUCCUGAAUCCAAAAAACACGUCUUUCCUGCAACGGUUUGGGUUGUAGCAGUGUUGGUCUAAGGACACAGGCAGACAAGGUUCCUUGGGUGAAUUUGAUAUCUUUUAUUAGACCAACCAAAAUGGUUGGAGAAUAGUUAUUAAUCAAGCUUUCGGGUUCAAAAACCCUUCGUCAGGUUAAGGAUGUACUUUGUGCUGAAGAUUUUUUGUUAGGUGUCUGUUUAUUUUUUCUACAUCGAUUCUUAUGUCUCAGCAUCGCCAGAGUUGGCUGAACAGAAAGAAGCCUGUUUCCCAAGCUACUGAUUAAUGCCUUCUCCAGUGGAGGUGCCGGGUUCCAGUUGCAGCUGGGGUAGUCUGCAUGGGACAUGAGGAAGCCUCAAGAGUCUCUGCAUGUCUCCUGAAGAUCCUCUGAGUUUACUUUCAUGGACUGCUACGUUGUCUAGGUCCAGCAGGCUCCUGGGAAGGGGCUGGGCUGGGGGGCUGAGAUAAGGAAUACUGGAUCCAGCUAGUGGCCCUCCUUGGCUGUGAACAGGUGAUUUACCGUCUCCCAGGACAUCUCCCAGAGCCUGCUGCACCUGCAGAUGAGCAACCCGAACCUCGAGGACACGACCCAUAUUACUGUGCCAGGUACAGUGAUUCAAACCCUAUUUAAGACAAUACAAAAACCCAGCUCAGAACUCCCUUUCAAAGCUGCUAGGUGGGGGCAGCCCCCUCACACAGCACAGCCCUGCACAGAGACAGGAGAAGAUGCACGGCACAUGGGAGAGCAAAUCACACUCACAAGGCUCCUUUCAAUUCCAUCAGCCCUGGCAAAAACUGUCCCCCGGGCCAGCUCUUCAAAUAUCGCUCCUGUCCCGAGGAAAUCCUGGGCAGAUCCUUUUUGGUCUCUUCAGCAGAGAAGAGAUUUCAAGAGGGAGCAGUGGAUUCAGCCACCUUCCCCACGUGGAAUAGCCCAGCUUGGUCCCAUUAAUGGGCCCAUCAUCAUGGAAAUAGAUUUCCUCACGUGUUUGAAUCCUUAUGUGCAAGCAAGGGCUGGUCUCUGUGAAAGCUGUCUCUAGUGGGUUAUGGAAUAGAGAAAAUCCCACACAA